rnacentral:tRNA from 1 species
GCCAAGAUAGCUCAGCUGGUAGAGCAAUCGCUUCGUAAGCGAUAGGUCCGGGGUUCGAUCCCCCGUCUUGGCUUA